rnacentral:rRNA from 1 species
AGUAACACGUGGAUAACCUGCCUAUAAGACUGGGAUAACUUCGGGAAACCGGAGCUAAUACCGGAUAAUAUAUUGAACCGCAUGGUUCAAUAGUGAAAGACGGUUUUGCUGUCACUUAUAGAUGGAUCCGCGCCGCAUUAGCUAGUUGGUAAGGUAACGGCUUACCAAGGCAACGAUGCGUAGCCGACCUGAGAGGGUGAUCGGCCACACUGGAACUGAGACACGGUCCAG